rnacentral:rRNA from 1 species
CCUACGGGUGGCAGCAGUAGGGAAUCUUCCACAAUGGGCGAAAGCCUGAUGGAGCAACGCCGCGUGGGUGAAGAAGUUCUUCGGAUCGUAAAACCCUGUUGUUAGAGAAGAAAGUGCGUGAGAGUAACUGUUCACGUUUCGACGGUAUCUAACCAGAAAGCCACGGCUAACUACGUGCCAGCAGCCGCGGUCAUACGUAGGUGGCAAGCGCUAGCCGGAUUUAUUGGGCGUAAAGGGAACGCAGACUGUCUUUUACUUCUGAGGUGAAAGCCUUCGGAUUAACCGGAGUAGUGCAUUGGAAACUGGGAGACUUGAGUGCAGAAGAGGAGAGUGGAACUACAUGUGU